rnacentral:tRNA from 1 species
GCGGGUAUGAUGAAACUGGUAGACAUGUCAGGUUUAGGUUCUGAUGAAAUUUUCGUGGGGGUUCAAGUCCCUCUACCCGCA